GAGUUUGAUCCUGGCUCAGAGUGAACGCUGGCGGCGUGCCUAAUACAUGCAAGUCGAACGAUGAAGCUUCUAGCUUGCUAGAAUGCUGAUUAGUGGCGCACGGGUGAGUAACGCAUAGGUCAUGUGCCUCUUAGUUUGGGAUAGCCAUUGGAAACGAUGAUUAAUACCAGAUACUCCCUACGGGGGAAAGAUUUAUCGCUAAGAGAUCAGCCUAUGUCCUAUCAGCUUGUUGGUAAGGUAAUGGCUUACCAAGGCUAUGACGGGUAUCCGGCCUGAGAGGGUGAACGGACACACUGGAACUGAGACACGGUCCAGACUCCUACGGGAGGCAGCAGUAGGGAAUAUUGCUCAAUGGGGGAAACCCUGAAGCAGCAACGCCGCGUGGAGGAUGAAGGUUUUAGGAUUGUAAACUCCUUUUGUUAGAGAAGAUAAUGACGGUAUCUAACGAAUAAGCACCGGCUAACUCCGUGCCAGCAGCCGCGGUAAUACGGAGGGUGCAAGCGUUACUCGGAAUCACUGGGCGUAAAGAGCGCGUAGGCGGGAUAGUCAGUCAGGUGUGAAAUCCUAUGGCUUAACCAUAGAACUGCAUUUGAAACUACUAUUCUAGAGUGUGGGAGAGGUAGGUGGAAUUCUUGGUGUAGGGGGUAAAAUCCGUAGAGAUCAAGAGGAAUACUCAUUGCGAAGGCGACCUGCUGGAACAUUACUGACGCUGAUUGCGCGAAAGCGUGGGGAGCAAACAGGAUUAGAUACCCUGGUAGUCCACGCCCUAAACGAUGGAUGCUAGUUGUUGGAGGGCUUAGUCUCUCCAGUAAUGCAGCUAACGCAUUAAGCAUCCCGCCUGGGGAGUACGGUCGCAAGAUUAAAACUCAAAGGAAUAGACGGGGACCCGCACAAGCGGUGGAGCAUGUGGUUUAAUUCGAAGAUACACGAAGAACCUUACCUAGGCUUGACAUUGAGAGAAUCCGCUAGAAAUAGUGGAGUGUCUAGCUUGCUAGACCUUGAAAACAGGUGCUGCACGGCUGUCGUCAGCUCGUGUCGUGAGAUGUUGGGUUAAGUCCCGCAACGAGCGCAACCCCCUUUCUUAGUUGCUAACAGGUCAUGCUGAGAACUCUAAGGAUACUGCCUCCGUAAGGAGGAGGAAGGUGGGGACGACGUCAAGUCAUCAUGGCCCUUACGCCUAGGGCUACACACGUGCUACAAUGGGGUGCACAAAGAGAAGCAAUACUGCGAAGUGGAGCCAAUCUUCAAAACACCUCUCAGUUCGGAUUGUAGGCUGCAACUCGCCUGCAUGAAGCUGGAAUCGCUAGUAAUCGCAAAUCAGCCAUGUUGCGGUGAAUACGUUCCCGGGUCUUGUACUCACCGCCCGUCACACCAUGGGAGUUGUGUUUGCCUUAAGUCAGGAUGCUAAAUUGGCUACUGCCCACGGCACACACAGCGACUGGGGUGAAGUCGUAACAAGGUAACCGUAGGUGAACCUGCGGUUGGAUCACC
rnacentral:rRNA from 1 species